GCCUGGGUGCUAAGUAACUGGGCAGAGGAUUAUGGGUAGCUGCACAAUGAUGCUGAAUAGGGAAAGCCUAUUUUGAGAUAGCCUGCUUUGGGCAAGAAUCAUGGCUCUGAAAAAUGCUUGGUGUUUGACCCUGGACAGUUUAAAUAACCAAGUCUCAGCCUCACCUUUAAAAUAGGAAUAAUAAUUACCUCGAAGGGAUGUUUCCAGAGUAGGGGAGUUCACAUUUAUAAACCUUUGGCACUUAGAGGCACUUAAUACAUACUAACUGACACGCUGUGAAUACGAACAUGUUCGUUAUAAUAAUAAUAAUUUAUAUGAUAUCCAAGUUAGGAGAGAAGUUUGGCGUGUCAAGUCCGGUGCUGUUCCGUCUUUGGUGACGCAUUUUAUAUCACAGCCCAGCCCACGUAAUACGAUCGACAUAGAAACAACCGAAACAGUGCUAUCCUGAUGCGAUGAUACCCUGUGAUAUUUGCUAUUCCGCAUUUUAUGAAACACUGAUGUCACAGCCUGUAUGACCUUGCCAGCACUGCCGUCACAAAACGCCACAGGCUGGGGGACUUAAGCAGCACAAAAUUACGUUCUCACCACCCUGGACGUUGGAAGUCCAACACCAAGUGCCAGGCAGGGCUGGUUUCUUCCGUGGCCGCUCUCCUUGGCUUGCGUCUCGCCCGGCUUCACGUGGUUCUUUCUUGUGUGUGUACACCCUGGCGUCUAUUCGUCCAACUGUCCUCUUCAGGGACACCAGUCAGAUUGGAUGAGGGCCACCCUAGCCGCCUCCGUUAACCUAUGCACCUGUUUAAAAGCCCUGUCUCCAAAGACAGUCACGUCUUGAAGCACUGGAGUUCUUCCAGGAAAACCCCCUCUCGUGGCCCUGAGUAUCGUGGCAUUCUGUAUCCGCCCCAGGCACGGUUCUGCAGACUUAAGAGCUAGACGUCCCCCUACUUAAGAAACGUGUUCCUCAACUGACUUUCAGCGGCCAGCACCCAUUUGCCAGUGCAGUGCCUCUGUGUCCACGUGGUUUUUGCAAAUCUUCGCACAACUCGACAUGCUUAUCACUGCUCAGCAAAUAUCCAUCCCCCACAGCCAUGGGAGCACCGUACUUCCCACUAAUGUUGGGCUGGUUCCUGUCACCUGCUUUGGCUAGUGGAAUAUGGGCGGAAGUAACAAUGUACCAUUUCCCAGGUGAGGCCUUAAGAAGCAUCACGUGGUUGUGCUUCUUUGGGAGCCCUGGCCCCCACUCUGACAAGGACGUGCUCCAGACAGCCGCUGCCCCCCCUCCGGCCUGGGCCCCCAGAAUGAGACGGAGGGGAGCAGAGCCCUCCCACUGCCUCUGCCUCCUGACCUGUGAUGGAUGAAUAAAUGCUUAGGAUUGAAAGCUA